rnacentral:snoRNA from 1 species
AAUGUAAUUAUUAAUUUCAGUAUUUACUGAGUGAUAGACAUAAACUAAAACUUGAUUCUGACAGAA